rnacentral:lncRNA from 1 species
UGGAUGUGGUUGAGAUGAGAAGCCGUCAUCACACUCUUAGAACAGAAAUCCAAAAGAGAUAAGAAGACAAGCUUAUAGAACCGUUUAUUAAAAUAAAAAUGAUCGAUUUAUGAUCUUGUUUAUAUAACCAUUUAAAAAUCAUACCAUAAGCCAUAUAUUAUUUACCAGAGAUCACAGAAAUAUACUAAAGAUCAGUUACAAAAACAAAAGAACUCAUAUACUAAAGAUCAGUUUCAUCUCAGCAGAACUACACACUGCAAUACAUUUAUUAGAACCAUACAGAAACAGCAGAUCAUUUUGAAACCAAACCAGGAAAGUGGACCCAUCUGCGUGAAAGCCAAAGUAGUUGAGGAAGCAGAGUAAUGAUGUUCAGUAGGUCAGAGAGACAAUAGGUGAUGG